AUUUAUAUAAUUUAAUUAAAAUAUUAUAUUUUCAUUAUAAAAAUAAUAAAAAUUUAUUUAUAAAUU
rnacentral:tRNA from 2 species